rnacentral:sRNA from 1 species
GCCGGGUGUGGUGGUGCCCAUCUGUAAUUCCAACGACUUGGAGGGCUGAGACAGGAGGAUCGCCGGUUCAAAGCCAGCCUCAGCAACUUAGUGAGGCUCUAAGCAACUUAGUGAGACCCUGUUUCAA